rnacentral:misc_RNA from 1 species
GCCUAUUGAAAAUGGAUAAUUAUGACAAUUCCAAGAAAAACAGCUGUGUUCCAGAAAUAACGAUAUUUACAAGGUAAAAUGAAGAAUAUUGGUCUGCGUGGUUGGUGUUGAUUAAUUCAUACAUUGGCCAAAAGCCAAAACAUAACAUGAGAAGAUAUGGCAAGGAGAAACCAUGAGAUAAAUGCCAAAGCAAUGGAGAUUUG